GCCAUGACCUUUCAAAGAUGAUUGUGAGCCGCCUCAUUAUUGUGUCUAACAGAUCUCCCAGCACUCAUGGAUCAUCCCAGAAGGGUCCCUCAACCUCUGGAUUUCGAGUUUGCCGAUGUCUCCCCUAACACAAUUCUCCAUGACCAGAGGCACUAAGUAAGUGGGAGUCCACAAGCCACAGGAGCUGUGACGAGCUAAAGCCCCUACAUGCUGGUGGGGGUCCUCUUUUUCAGGUUCUCACCACUGCCUUCCAGAACUGCACACAUACCCCGUUUUAUCCCUGAACAGAAUUAAAUUCUCAUGCAAUCUCUUGGCUCUGGGAGGCCAGGAACUGGGCUGUUCACAAGGUCUCUGAACUGCUCAGGAGAAAGGUGCAGUAUCUGUGCCAUGCAUGAAAUGUGGUAACAUCUAGCUUUGAAUUCUGCUCAACUGUUGGCCAGACAGCUGAUGAGACUUAUCCAAUUUCUAGAGCACUUCAUCUGCUCUGUGAAAUGGAAAA